CCUGUGUAACACCAGAAAAAUGGACAGGAUGUUUUAAAAUCUUGUAAGGAGAUGAAUUGAGAAGCCCACGGAGCAGGCUGGGAUCUGUUAAAUUAUCUAUCUACUUGGUACAUCUUAUGGAAUACCUGUUAAAAACAGCUGUGCUCCAAGCUUGAAGGAAUGAGCUGCUUUUUAAAUUUUAUUUUAAUUUUUAUUAAAAUGUUGCAAAAGGGAUGGUUUAGUUUCAGUUAUAUCUAGUGCAUUGGAUAUCAAGAGCUAGUAAUUCUUUAACUUGUAGCAUGGCUGUGAGGAAACAUUUUAGAUUAUUUUAAAAAAAAAAAAAAGAGAAGACUUGUUAUAUAGGCCUGAUGCUGAGCAUCUGUGACUAAUCCCUGCUUGGCUCUGUAUACUUCCUGAGAAUGGAGUUAAUGCACUAAGAUACUAUUGGGAGGGAUGACCCAAUCGACCAAAGCAAUAGCAGAGAAAAAGCUGGGUAGAGCUGCCAAUGAGACAUUAGCUGGCAAAGGCCAGCACAAUAGAACAAAUUGCCAGCCAAGACCUGAGGGAGGGUUACGUUUCUGUCAUGUAUUUGAGACUGAACUUAUCCAGCAUGUGAGUUGUGGUCCACUGAAGGAUCACUGGGCUUCAUAAAGGUGGUGGGGGGCUCAUAUUAACAUUCAUGAUCCCUUUUGCAUGGGAGCACAUGGAGCACCUGUAGCCACAGACUGUUUUGGUCCCCAGGGGACUUCUGUGAAGCAUAACAGACAGAAGUUUAUAUUGUUAGUCUCUGUGAUGAUGUAUUUUGGAGAUUAUUGAAGGUUAGGGAAGGUAACAUUAAAUGUUUGUGAAUGCUAGCACAAAAUUUUAUUCUUUUGUUGAGAGAAGGCAGCAAUGCUGAGCUUUGCCUUAAGGCAGCUGUUCCUAGUCAAGAUUUCAUGUUGUUCUGAAGCAGGCAUAGCCCUUUCUUCCCACAAUCCCACCGAGACCUCUGGAAAAACAGAAGACAAAAGGAGGCAGAUAAGACUACAAUGGGAUAUUCAGUCUGCAGACCUGCGCCUGUGGAUUCAUGAAGCUUUCUCGAUAGAUACCAUGAGUACCAAACCAUGA
rnacentral:lncRNA from 1 species